rnacentral:rRNA from 1 species
GGAAUUUUCGGCAAUGGGCGGAAGCCUGACCGAGCAACGCCGCGUGAACGAAGAAGUAUUUCGGUAUGUAAAGUUCUUUUAUUUGGGAAGAAAAGACAGAUUGACUGUACCAAAUGAAUAAGCUCCGGCUAACUACGUGCCAGCAGCCGCGGUAAUACGUAGGGAGCGAGCGUUAUCCGGAAUUAUUGGGCGUAAAGGGUGCGUAGAUGGCAAUAAAAGUUUCUUGUAAAAAUGCUAGGCUCAACCUAGUAGGGCAAGGGAUACUAUAUAGCUAGAGUAUGAUAGAGGCAAGUGGAACUCCAUGUGUAGCGGUAAAAUGCGUAAAUAUAUGGAAGAACACCAGUGGCGAAGGCGGCUUGCUAGGUCAAUACUGACAUUGAGGCACGAAAGCGUGGGGAGCAAACA